CGCCUUGCCAGCCCGCUCAGAAACUUAAAGGAAUUGACGGGGGCCCGCACAAGCGGUGGAGCAUGUGGUUUAAUUCGAUGAUACGCGAGGAACCUUACCUGGGCUCAAAUGUAUGUUGGCGUAUUCUGAAAGGGAUACUUCUUCGGACAAUAUACAAGGUGCUGCAUGGUUGUCGUCAGCUCGUGCCGUGAGGUGUCGGGUUAAGUCCCAUAACGAGCGCAACCCCUACCUUUAGUUGCCAUCAGGUAAUGCUGGGGACUCUAAAGGAACUGCCUACGCAAGUAGUGAGGAAGGCGGGGAUGACGUCAAAUCAGCACGGCCCUUACGUCCAGGGCUACACACGUGCUACAAUGGCCGAUACAGAGGGCAGCUACCUGGUGACAGGAUGCAAAUCUCCAAAGUCGGUCUCAGUUCGGAUCGGAGUCUGCAACCCGACUCCGUGAAGUUGGAUUCGCUAGUAAUCGCGCAUCAGCCAUGGCGCGGUGAAUACGUUCCCGGGCCUU
rnacentral:rRNA from 1 species